UGCCCGGAAUAGGUCAGCUGUGGUAGCCAAAAUGGCGGGUUGAUAAUUUCAAUUACAUAUAGCAAAGGCUUUUAGUUAACCCCUCCAGUUCCCUCGUGAGAGGAAAAUACCCAUUGUUUUCUGGAGUAAGGAUUGAAGUACCACGAUGGAACCUCACUAAAAUCAACCCGCCUUUUGGGGAAAUUAUACACUACAACAUGGGAAGUCAUAGACCCUCACCCACCUGAGAGGAACCUGUUCCGGCUCCAGUCAGUCAACCUGGGAGCAAGCUGGAGAGUUCCAGCUUCGUUUUCUUUUUCACACCUGGACCUAAAGAUGGUACAGUUUUGCACCACCAUGGUGCUCAUUUUCCGGUAUGCGGCAGCAACCUUUUGAGAAGUCAGAUGGGAUUGUUUGGGAACAGUGAGUUUUGUGAUAGAAACUUUCUGUAUAUGGUGUUUCAUAUCACAGACAUUUGGUUAGUGAAUUAUGGUUAUUAAUUAUUUCUCUUUUAGAUUUAGCUUGUAUUUAUUGGGUUUUAAUAUACAUAUGUUUAGUAAGUUCCCAAACUUACGUAUAAUCCUGCGGUAUUGUACGUUGAGCUCGGCGUGUCUGCCAAAAUGUAUUACUUUUUAUAUUUUAUUGUUUAUUUAGGUCGAUUCAUGUCAUUAUAUAAAUUUAUGUUGCAUUAGUUGCUUGUUUCCCAGAUAUUUUAUUGUUCAUUAGCUUUUCUUCAUUUGUUCGGUCAAUUCAAGUCGUUUGUAUAGGUAUUUAGCUUAACUUCAUUUCAUUAACUUUCAUUCGUUAAUUUUGCUUAAUUCAUUAUUGUAUUUUCCUUAGUCAGGCUUGUGCCUGCUUAUUUAUAUUUUCUCAUAUUUGCCGGUUUUCAAGUUAGUUGUACGUAGCAAGCGUACUAUAACCAUUUGGUAACAGUCUGAGGUGAGUUGUACCCCAUAUAUAUGUAAGAGGUAUUUAAGUUUUGUAACAGGUAACAUUAUUGUUGUUAUUUUGAAUAUAACUUGGUUAACAUAAUAUAACUUUGUCAUUUUAGAGUCACAAUAUUCAAUUUGGUUUAACUUAGAGAUUGUGCAAAUCUAGGUAGUUAUUUUUAACAAAUAUUUACUUAUUUUG
rnacentral:lncRNA from 1 species